GGGAUCGGGGAUUGCAAUUAUUCCCCAUGAACGAGGAAUUCCCAGUAAGUGCGGGUCAUAAGCUUGCGUUGAUUAAGUCCCUG
rnacentral:rRNA from 1 species